UUCUGAACAGUUUUGGCUAAGAUGAAAUAAAUGGCGCUAAGUCAAACAAGGCAAGGCAAAAAGCCAAUAACAUAGCCAAAAACUCUGUGGUGCAUUGGAAAGGGGAAUCAUAUUUGAUGUUCUUAUUGAAAGUUGAACCCCAACAUUAUCAAACCCAACCACCCUCAUCAAGUUAAGCACAAGUGACACAUAAUUCGGCAACCCAUUUGAUUUUACCAAAAUUUUGGCGCAUUGAAUUUGCAUGGUCGUUGCAGUGCAGAGACAAAGAUGGGUCCAGAUGAAGAAUUGAUUCCUUUUCCCUUUGUAACUUCCAAUGUGACUGAGACGCCUAUUAUCUGUUUGAUGCAAAGUCAAAGUAGACUAAGAUGACUUACAAGAAAAUGUGGCCUUUGUGAGUAAGCAAAGCACACAUUCACUCCACAAAGUAAUCUGAUUCCUAUGCAUGGUUAGCAGUGAGAGGACAAGCAAACAGAAAGUUUCACAUCAAUGGUUCAGCAAAUCUUUGUACUUCACUUAAUGUUGCAGAUUUAGUUACCUUCAAAGGAAGGUGGUCCAAAUGAUGGCCAUUCAGAAUUGUGACACUCCUCACACUGCAAGUCAUGUGCCAUCCUCCACCACAACAAUCAUUCAAAACUCCUUCAUAAACAAUGUCCAACCCUAGCUUAUUCCACCCAAAUCAAAUGCUCAUCACAUCACCCUUUCUUUCUUUGUUUGUUUCAUACAAACUAAUAAAUGAAAGAGCCUGAAAAGUGGGUGAGUCAUCAGUGAAGACAAGGAGUUAAAGGAAAAGGGUCCCCUCUUUUCUUUCAAUUCUGUAAUAAUUGUAUAUAUGUGUGUGUACAAAAGCCAUGGGUUACAUGCAGAUUUACUCAGAAGCUCCAGAGAAACAAAGUGUGUGUGUGUGAAGUGUGAAUUGAAGAUAACGUGAAGUCCUUGGAAGCCAAAUCCAAACAUACACAAAGGUGUAUGUAGUUUAUCUUUUUUCUGCUUUUUGUAGUAGUAGCAGCAUGGAAGCAAUUGAAUUUGGUUUAUCAAAUGGCACAGCUACAGGUAGCAGAGAUGCAGAAGUGCAUGCCUUGCAGAAAGCUCAAGACGAGAAGAGUUUGAAAAUUCAAGAGCUGAAGAAACAGAUUGAAUUGACAAAGUGUCGUUUGGAAAAGAAGAAGAAAGAGAUUAGUGAGGAGAAAAUGGAAGGUUUCAAUGCCCUAAGCAAGAAAUAUAGCAGUCUGAGAGAGGAAUACAAUGGAAUGUUAGCUGAGAAAUUAAGGAAAUCAAAGUAACUCUCAAAUUAUUAAGCCUAGCUGAGAUUAUUGUUAGCUUCAUAUGUAUUUAUCAAAUCUAAUUAAACUUAUGUUUCUCAA